CCGGCUCUUGCCCGGUGGUGGUAAUAUCUUGCUGGGGCCUCCAUUAUGUUGUAUCCAGGCAAGUUAGAGAAAACGCCACACUUUGAGAUGAAUUAAGAGUCCUUUAUUAG
rnacentral:pre_miRNA from 10 species